GCUAACGUCGUGGCGGGAGCCGGGGGAAGACGAAGGGGGCAGGCGUGGGUCGGAAUGAGGGGGGUGAUAGCGGGUGUCGGAGGUUGGUCAAUGCGGGUGGGAAAGGCUUGAGCCCAACUCAAGAAAGGCACUCGAUACUGUAUGACUUGAGGACCGGAGAGGAGAGUGGAAUUCCCAGUGUAGUGGUGAAAUACGUAGAGAUUGGGAAGAACACCAGUGGCGAAGGCGGCUAUCUGGACGGUUUCUGACGCUAAGACGCGAAAGCGUGGGGAGCAAACAGGAUUAGAGACCCCAGUAGUC
rnacentral:rRNA from 1 species